GUGCUCGCUUCGGCAGCACAUAUACUAAAAUUGGAACGAUACAGAGAUUAGCAUGGCCCCUGCGCAAGGAUGGCACACAUAUUUAAAAAAAAAAGAAAUGAUCA